UACAGAGGUCUCGAGCGUUGUUCGGAUUCAUUGGGCGUAAAGGGUGCGUAGGUGGCGCCGUAAGUCGGAUGUGAAAUUUCGGAGCUUAACUCCGAAACUGCAUUCGAUACUGCGGUGCUUGAGGACUGGAGAGGAGACUGGAAUUCAUGGUGUAGCAGUGAAAUGCGUAGAGAUCAUGAGGAAGACCAGAGGCGAAAGCGGCGACCUGGACAGGUACUGACACUCAACAACGAAAGCGUGGGGAGCAAACAGG
rnacentral:rRNA from 1 species